UUAAGUGAACCCUACAACAGUUAUACAAACAGAUCCAAACAUUGAAUUACUGCCAUCCCUUCCCAAGAUCUCACCAUUGACACACGGUUCUCUCAGGAGAAUUCCAUAGGCGUCGUGUAUUUUCAGGAUCUAAGUGGGGAAGUGUGGUCACCCAGAAAACAACACACUAGAAUUUGUUUUACAACGUAAAUGUGUGUGUUGGCUGGAAAGAAUACUUCGCUUUAUCCUGCAGCGGCAAUCCGCUUCCUGUUCUUUCUGUCCGUGACCGCCUGAGGGAGCAGUAGUGCGCGCCGUGUUCUUUAAACUCGAAGGAACAAACAAACAGUGCGACUAAAACAACACGUUAAAAGUGAAGCAAAAUUGUAUCCUAUAAGCUAAAUUAGUACGUACAUGUAACGUGUUAAAAGCAAUCGAAAUCGAAGUAAACAACAAAGAGACGAAGCACAUUGUAAAACAACAGGAAAAGGUCCAAGAGGGCCUUUUUCUUUUGGUUUCGACUGGUUCUUCGUCCCCAGGUUACCGACAACUCCGGACAGAAAAGCACACACAAGAUCGAACUAGACCCAAAAUUUGACCUCGAGUGUGACAUAACCUAGCCUCGGAACGAAGCGUGUGCAGAAGUCCAAAAACCACACCUUCCGACUGAAACCAGCAGAAUGCCACCUCGGAAACCAAGUUGCCAACAUCGAGUCGACACGCUUCGGGUUGAGCCGUUCCCAGCGGUGCCAAAACCGCCAUUAGGUGUGCAUGGUUCUACAGAUCUGCCGUUCUCAACCGUCUGGCUUCGUAACUGGCUGUGGCGGUAAAUUGCAUGCCGAAAGUAACUUCGUAGCGAUGCUGCGAUCCGACAACAUAAACAUAAGCUGUAUCGCAAGUAUAAACAUUAUGUGACGUCACGUUAGGGCCCAUCCUUAGAAUAAAAUAUGUAAUUGUUUUCGCACAUAAAAUUACCAAACUGUAAAUGUAGAAACCGGUAACCACUUUACACUUCCGGAAUUUGUUUCGUGUUCGAACUCCAUUUUCAAACCUCGCCCUGGGGUGGUCAUCUUAAGAAGUUCAGGCUAGAUU